UGGACCCGUUACCCGGGUUGCGGACAGUGUCUGGUGGGUAGUUUGACUGGGGCGGUCUCCUCCUAAAGAGUAACGGAGGAGCACGAAGGUUGGCUAAUCCUGGUCGGACAUCAGGAGGUUAGUGCAAUGGCAUAAGCCAGCUUGACUGCGAGCGUGACGGCGCGAGCAGGUGCGAAAGCAGGUCAUAGUGAUCCGGUGGUUCUGAAUGGAAGGGCCAUCGCUCAACGGAUAAAAGGUACUCCGGGGAUAACAGGCUGAUACCGCCCAAGAGUUCAUAUCGACGGCGGUGUUUGGCACCUCGAUGUCGGCUCAUCACAUCCUGGGGCUGAAGUAGGUCCCAAGGGUAUGGCUGUUCGCCAUUUAAAGUGGUACGCGAGCUGGGUUUAGAACGUCGUGAGACAGUUCGGUCCCUAUCUGCCGUGGGCGCUGGAGAACUGAGGGGGGCUGCUCCUAGUACGAGAGGACCGGAGUGGACGCAUCACUGGUGUUCGGGUUGUCAUGCCAAUGGCACUGCCCGGUAGCUAAAUGCGGAAGAGAUAAGUGCUGAAAGCAUCUAAGCACGAAACUUGCCCCGAGAUGAGUUCUCCCUGAGACUUAGAGUCUCCUGAAGGAACGUUGAAGACGACGACGUUGAUAGGCCGGGUGUGUAAGCGCAGCGAUGCGUUGAGCUAACCGGUACUAAUGAACCGUGAGGCUUAACCUUACAACGCCG
rnacentral:rRNA from 1 species